rnacentral:rRNA from 1 species
GGGCUCACACAAGCGGUGGAGGAUGUGGCUUAAUUCGAGGCUACGCGAAGAACCUUACCUAGACUUAACAUGUUUGAGAAUCUCUGUGAAAGCAGAGAGUGCCUUUCGGGGAACUCUUACGUAGGUGCUGCAUGGCUGUCGUCAGCUCGUGUCGUGAGAUGUCGGGUUAAGUCCCUUAACGAGCGAAACCCUUAUCUUCAGUUGCCAGCGAGUAAUGUCGGGGACUCUGGAGAGACUGCCGGUGUUAAACCGGAGGAAGGUGGGGAUGACGUCAAGUCCUCAUGGCCUUUAUGUCUAGGGCUGCACACGUCCUACAAUGCUACGGACAAAGGGCAGCAAGUUCGCGAGGACAAGCAAA